UACAGAGGGUGCGAGCGUUAAUCGGAAUUACUGGGCGUAAAGCGUGCGUAGACGGUUAUUUAAGUCGGAUGUGAAAGCCCCGGGCUCAACCUGGGAAUUGCAUUCGAGACUGAAUAGCUAGGGUGCGGUAGAGGGAAGCGGAAUUUCCGGUGUAGCGGUGAAAUGCGUAGAUAUGCGGAGGAACACCGGUGGCGAAGGCGGGUCUCUGGGCAGUAACUGACGCUGAGGAGCGAAAGCGUGGGGAGCGAACAGG
rnacentral:rRNA from 1 species